rnacentral:rRNA from 1 species
GACAAGGGCCCAGGUCCUACGGGGCGCAGCAGUCGCGNAAACUUUGCAAUACACGAAAGUGUGACAGGGYUAUCCCGAGUGCCGNCCGCUGAGGNUGGCUUUUACCCAGUCUAGAAAGCUGGGGGAAUAAGGAGAGGGCAAGUCUGGUGUCAGCCGCCGCGGUAAUACCAGCUCUCCGAGUGGUGUGGAUGUUUAUUGGGCCUAAAGCAUCCGUAGCUGGCUGANCAAGUCCCCUGUUAAANCCACCGAAUUAAUCGUUGGUGUGCGGGGGAUACUGCUCGKCUAGGGGACGAGAGAGGCAGACGGUAUUCUCGGGGUAGGGGUGAAAUCCUAUAAUCCCGNGAAGACCACCAGUGGCGAAGGCUGUCUGYUAGAACGCGCCCGACGGUGAGGGAUGAAAGCUGGGGGAGCGAACCGGAUUAGAUACCCGGGUAGUCCCAGCUGUAAACNAUGCAGNCUAGGUGUUUGGACGGCCACGUGCCGUUCUAGUGCCGCAGGGAAGCUGUUAAGCCUGCCGCCUGGGGAGUACGAUCGCAAGAUUGAAACUUAAAGGAAUUGGC